ensembl:lncRNA
AAGAUGAUGGGGGGGGGGCGUGCAUAAUGAAAACCCACAACUUGCAACAUUGGAAACAAUGAAAGAUUGAAAACUUUUUCCCCUUAGGGAAGGAAUAAGACAAAGAUGCCUGCUUUUGCCACUUCUACUUAGAAUCAUUCUAGAAAUUCUAGCCAGACCAAUGAGGUCCCCCUUCUCCAGGGCUACUGCAGUUUGCUGGAGGUUCACUCCAGACCCUGUUCACCUGAGUAUCACCCAUGGAGACUGCAGAACAGCAAAGAUUGCUUGUUCCUCUGGAAGCUUUAUCCCAGAGGGGCACCCGCCUGAUGCCAGCUGGAGUUCUUCUGUAUGAGGUUGCAGGUUUUGCAGAGAAAGACCACAGAGGAAAAGUAUCAUUCUCAUCAUGUGACGUCAAGGGUGUACUCUGCCAGUUUUACUCACAACUGUUGAUGUUGACCUUGAUCACCUGGAUUUGGCAGCUUCUGUCAAGUUUCCCCACUGUAAAGUCACACAGAAACAUUCUUGAUUUGGCCAACUCUGCACUGGGAGCUAAGGCGAGCCGACAGAGCAGGUGUCUGCAAUGCAUCAGGCGCAGGCAGGUGCAGCACACAGGCAGCAAGCAUGGCAGAGCAACAUGGGGAAACAGUGACGGCAGCCCCACAGAAGUGCACACAGGUACGGAGAAAUAUGACAGAAACUGGACCUACAUUUCCAUGUAAAGAAACAUUUCAUGGGCUGAAGGAAAGUGAGAGGCCCUUUGGAUCUCAGACCCUCCCUAAUGUCUAAAAUGUGCGGUAACCAGCCAGCCCCAUUUUCCUAAGAUUGUCCCAGUUUUUAGCACCAAAGUUUGGUGUCCUGGGAAACCCCUCAAUCAUGGGGAAACUCACAGGUCUGGCCACCCUAUAUCCCCACCACUUCACAGACUCUGCACCAUGGGGCUGAAAGUUAACUAGCCAUUUACCAUUGGAAGGCCCACCUGUGCUUUUCUUCCCAAUAUUCUUCCACUGCUACUGUUCCUCCUCUUCUAACGUUGAAAAAUAAUUCUCUCUCUGUAUAUCAAAAGUGGCACAGUGAACCUGAAGUCAAAUUCAGAGAGACAAAAAGUGGGAAUGGUAGUUGCCAGGGGCUCAGGGGAGGCAGAAUAAGGAGUUUGUGUUGGAUGGGUGCGGAGCCUCAGUUGGAGAAGAUGAAAAAGUUCUGGAGCUGGAUGGUGGUGAUGGUUGCACAGCAAUGUGAAUGUAUUCAGUAGCACUUUAAAAUGGUAACCAUGGUAAAUUUUAUGUUAUGUAUAUUUUUCCAUAAUAAAA